UGCCCGGUCGUCUAACGGUAGGACAGCAGAUUUUGGGUCUGCGUGUGGGGGUUCGAAUCCUCCCCGGGCAA
rnacentral:tRNA from 1 species